rnacentral:rRNA from 1 species
UCUGAAUAUGGGGGGACCAUCCUCCAAGGCUAAAUACUCCUGACUGACCGAUAGUGAACCAGUACCGUGAGGGAAAGGCGAAAAGAACCCCGGCGAGGGGAGUGAAAAAGAACCUGAAACCGUGUACGUACAAGCAGUGGGAGCACCUUCGGGUGUGACUGCGUACCUUUUGUAUAAUGGGUCAGCGACUUAUAUUCUGUAGCAAGGUUAACCGUAUAGGGGAGCCGCAGGGAAACCGAGUCUUAACUGGGCGUUAAGUUGCAGGGUAUAGACCCGAAACCCGGUGAUCUAGCCAUGGGCAGGUUGAAGGUUGGGUAACACUAACUGGAGGACCGAACCGACUAAUGUUGAAAAAUUAGCGGAUGACUUGUGGCUGGGGGUGAAAGGCCAAUCAAACCGGGAGAUAGCUGGUUCUCCCCGAAAGCUAUUUAGGUAGCG